GAUGAACGCUGGCGGCGUGCCUAAUACAUGCAAGUCGAGCGAACAGACGAGGAGCUUGCUCCUCUGACGUUAGCGGCGGACGGGUGAGUAACACGUGGAUAACCUACCUAUAAGACUGGGAUAACUUCGGGAAACCGGAGCUAAUACCGGAUAAUAUAUUGAACCGCAUGGUUCAAUAGUGAAAGACGGUUUUGCUGUCACUUAUAGAUGGAUCCGCGCCGCAUUAGCUAGUUGGUAAGGUAACGGCUUACCAAGGCAACGAUGCGUAGCCGACCUGAGAGGGUGAUCGGCCACACUGGAACUGAGACACGGUCCAGACUCCUACGGGAGGCAGCAGUAGGGAAUCUGCCGCAAUGGGCGAAAGCCUGACGGAGCAACGCCGCGUGAGUGAUGAAGGUCUGCGGAUCGUAAAACUCUGUUAUUAGGGAAGAACAAAUGUGUAAGUAACUAUGCACGUCUUGACGGUACCUAAUCAGAAAGCCACGGCUAACUACGG
rnacentral:rRNA from 1 species